UCGGAGGUGGUAGUCGGAGGGUGGCUAACGGAGUUGAUGGCUGGAACUUUGCCAGUGUGAGGGGAAUGGGGUUGCCAGAGGUUGGUCAAUGGUGGCUAGUGGCGACUCGAGGUUGGUCGACGAUGGUCAUCAAGGUGGUGGCUAGAGUUGGUCGGUGGUGGUCACUGAGGUGGUGACUGGAGUUGGCCGGUGGCAGUCGUCCGAGGUGGCGGCCAGAAUUAGUCGGAGGUGGUGCCGAAGUCGGCCGGCGGCAUUAGCCUGAAGUGGUUGUCGGAAUUGGCCGUGAUGGUCACCGAAAAUGGUGUCCGGUGUAUUUAGAUUAAAUUAGAAAAAAAAAAAAGAAACCAUAGGUUUGAAUAGUAAAUGGAAAAAGAUGUAACAUGCCAAGAUUUCUUAAAUACAUGUUUCAAAUAAGAGUUGAAUUUAGAAUGCCUAACGCAUCCAAUCUCAACCCUUGAAACAAAUAGGGUCACAAAAUUAUUCAUCAUCACGGAGCACGAGCAAGAUGGUCAACACUCGUGACUGGGAAUUUCGCUUCGCUCCGACGAAUAAUUGGAAUAAGACAGGGCAUGCUGCCAAUACAUAAAAAAUUAUAGAACAAUUGCAUAAAAGGAACUGAAUAGAGACCAUAAUACAAACCUCCUCGACAAGAGCGGAGGAGAAUCAAUCUGGAACACAAAAAGAAUCUCACCCAACACCUUCAGAGAAAGAAGAAGAGAGAUCUACAAAAACAAACCCUAAAGCAACCCCCAUCAACCGCCGCGCGGGAGGAGACGAUGAGUAACCCUAAUUGCCGAAUGAUGGCACCAACAGAAAGACUCAACCUUAACAACCGAAGACAAUGGAGCUAUCUCCUUCACCAAAAAAAAAAAAAAAAGGAAAAAAAAAAGUUCAAACAGGUCAAUAUCCAUAUGAGAAAUGGCAUAAAUGAGAUCCGCACAAUCAGACUCCACAAUCAGAGGGAGAGGAGGGGAAACACCACCAAACUUGAAAAGGAGAUCAGACAGGCCCCUAAUCAUCACAAAGGCUUUCAGAUUUUUAGUGGCUCAAUUCACCCUCACCUGCCCAUACGAGAAUUGAAUUGUUAACUUAUGACACCUAAUAUAUUGCCCUUUUGAUAUUCA